GUCACCCCUGUCCCCUGAAGGCCUGUCACCUGAAGACAUCUCCACCAGAGUGACAGCUCUAGCCCUAGAUGGCCUGGGGCCUCUCCCCAGGGGUUGGCCUGGCUGGCUCUACCAAUCUUUGAGGCCCUGAGAAGAGCACGGGUGUCGCCUCCCACUCCUCCUGACAGCCGGCAAUGAUCCAGUCACAGGGAGCCAUCCAUCAGUGUCGGGGGAAAAGAGUGGCCCUAAGGAUCCUUUCCCGCACACUCUUGGAAGCUGCUGGGUGCCUUAGGGCACCGAGGGGCAAGACAAGGAAGGAUGCCAGGGGUGGGCAGACUCGGGAAGGCAAGCCCUGGCUCAGAACUGCGGACGCCCUUCCCGAAAUCCCUCAGGCUCCGGCCAGUGGCCACGAUGAUGAGGCUCUCAUCUCGGAAAAGCUGGUGCAGCGGCCAGGGCUCCGGGCUGCCAGCCAGGCCUGCUGUCUAGGCGGCUCCACCUGGAUGCAGAAAGCGAGGGGGGCAGGGAGACACAAUAGCCAGAAGACCGGACCUGCAGACUUGGGGUCAUCACCACUAUGGGAGCUCAGCUCAACGCAACCCCCCAGUGGCUGCUUUGCUAAUCCCUCCCUAUGGGAUCAGGGUAGUAGCCUUUAGCCAUAGCAAGUCAAGGAACACUUUCUUGUUACCCUUAACCAUCUGUAGCCUAGGCUGGUCUCAAACACAGUAAAUAGUUAGAAAAUGACUUUAAACUUCUGAUUCUCCAGCCUCCACCUCUCAAGAGAUGAGAUUAUAGGCUUGUGUGUUCCACACCCUGUGAG
ensembl:processed_transcript Gm11523 predicted gene 11523